GUCCCCAUAGUUAAACGGAUAUAACGCCUCCCUUCUAAGGAGGAACUCCAGGUUCGAUUCCUGGUGGGGACA
rnacentral:tRNA from 1 species